rnacentral:rRNA from 1 species
CCUACGGGGGGCAGCAGUGGGGAAUAUUGCACAAUGGGGGAAACCCUGAUGCAGCGACGCCGCGUGAAGGAAGAAGUAUUUCGGUAUGUAAACUUCUAUCAGCAGGGAAGAAAAUGACGGUACCUGACUAAGAAGCCCCGGCUAACGACGUGCCAGCAGCCGCGGUAAUACGUAGGGGGCAAGCGUUACCCGGAUUUACUGGGUGUAACGGGAGCGGAGGCGGCGAUGCAAGUCAGAAGUGAAAGCCCGGGGCUCAACUCCGGGACUGCUUUUGAAACUGUAUGGCUAGAUUGCAGGAGAGGCAAGUAGAAUUCCUAGUGUAGCGGUGAAAUGCGUAGAUAUUAGGAGGAACACCAGUGGCGAAGGCGGCUUGCUGGACGGUAAAUGACGCUGAGGCUCGAAAGCGUGGGGAGCAAACAGGAUUAGAUACCCCUGUAGUC